GACCAUGUAGCUCAGUUGGCAGAGCAUUGGGCUAGUAUUCCAAAGGUCGUAGGUUCGAUUCCCACCGUGGUCA
rnacentral:tRNA from 1 species